AGAGUUUGAUUCUGGCUCAGGAUGAACGCUAGCUACAGGCUUAACACAUGCAAGUCGAGGGGCAGCAUUGGAGUAGCAAUACUCAGAUGGCGACCGGCGCACGGGUGAGUAACACGUAUCCAACCUGCCGCUUACUCGGGGAUAGCCUUUCGAAAGAAAGAUUAAUACCCGAUGGUAUAAAGAGUUCGCAUGUUCUCUUUAUUAAAGAAUUUCGGUAGGCGAUGGGGAUGCGUUCCAUUAGAUAGUUGGCGGGGUAACGGCCCACCAAGUCUACGAUGGAUAGGGGUUCUGAGAGGAAGGUCCCCCACAUUGGAACUGAGACACGGUCCAAACUCCUACGGGAGGCAGCAGUGAGGAAUAUUGGUCAAUGGACGAGAGUCUGAACCAGCCAAAGUAGCGUGAAGGAUGACUGCCCUAUGGGUUGUAAACUUCUUUUAUAAGGGAAUAAAGUGAGGGACGUGUCCCUUUUUGUAUGUACCUUAUGAAUAAGGAUCGGCUAACUCCGUGCCAGCCGCGGC
rnacentral:rRNA from 1 species